UUUUAAGAAUACUACUAAUGGUGUUUGGGGGGGGGGGGAUCAUUUUAUUUUCUUUAGACAAAAAAAAGAAAUUUUCUUCCGCCCAACCCCUUGGUUGGGUUUUUUAUUUUACCGGAUUGAAAAAGCUGUUCCGCAUGAUUUGGUUUUAAAAUAACUGGAAUCCCUGGCGACCCCGGAACGGUUAUUCAAGGAAAUUGGAGGUUUCAAAGCCUCGUACUUGAAGUCCCAGAAACCCCCCGUCAGUGUGUGAGUAGGUCACAGCUUUACGUGGGCGUAGACGGACCUGAGAGGCAUAGAAAGGCCAGCCUAGGGGCACAUCGGAAAUUGCAUAAGGAAGCUGCAGGCUUCCGAUCCUCCGUGAGAGCUUUACCAUUAGACCUGGGGAUAGAGAGGCAAUCGGUUCAGCGCGCGUAAUCCAGUCUCCAGUGGUGUGAUGUUAUGGUCUAAAGCUCCGAGCUGUUAAGUUAGUCCCUGUUAAUCCACCGAAUUAUCGUUGAUAGCGGGGAUACUGCUGGCUAGGGGAGAGAGAGGCAGACGGUAUUUCCGGGUAGGGGUGAAUCCUAUAUCCCGGAAGGCCACCAGGGCGAAGGCUGUCUGCUAGACGCGCCCGACGUGAGGGAGAAAGCUGGGGGAGCGAACCGGAUUAGAUACCCGGGUAGUCCCAGCUGUAAACGAUGCAGGCUAGGUGUUGGACGGCCACGUGCCGUUCUAGGCCGCAGGGAAGCUGUAAGCCUGCCGCCUGGGGAGUACGAUCGCAAGAUUAAACUAAAGGAAUGGCGGGGGAGCACCACAAGGGGUGAAGCUUGCGGUUUAAUUGGAGUCAACGCCGGAAAUCUCACCGGGAGCGACAGCAGGAUGAAAGCCAGAUUAAAGGUCUUGCUAGACGAGCUGAGAGGAGGUGCAUGGCCGUCGCCAGUUCGUGCCGUGAGGUGUCCUGUUAAGUCAGGCAACGAUCGAGACCCGCGUCCUCUGUUACUACCAGUCUUGUGCUGGGCACACUGAGGAGACCGCCACUGAUAAAGUGGAGGAAGGAGCGGGCCACGGCAGGUCAGUAUGCCCCGAAUCUCCCGGGCCACACGCGAGCUGCAAUGGCAGGUACAAUGGGUUCCGACCUUGAGAAGGGAAGGCAAUCUCGAAAGCCUGCCGUAGUUGGGAUCGAGGGUUGUAACCCAUCCUCGUGAACAUGGAAUCCCUAGUAAUCGCGUGUCAUUAGCGCGCGGUGAAUACGUCCCUGCUCCUUGCACACACCG
rnacentral:rRNA from 1 species